rnacentral:rRNA from 1 species
AUUGAACGCUGGCGGCAUGAUUUACACAUGCAAGUCGAACGGUAACAGGCCGCAAGGUGCUGACGAGUGGCGCACGGGUGAGUAAUGCAUCGGAACGUGCCCAGUCGUGGGGGAUAACUACUCGAAAGAGUAGCUAGUACCGCAUACGAUCUAUGGAUGAAAGCGGGGGACCGUAAGGCCUCGCGCGAUUGGAGCGGCCGAUGUCAGAUUAGGUAGUUGGUGGGGUAAAGGCUCACCAAGCCAACGAUCUGUAGCUGGUCUGAGAGGACGACCAGCCACACUGGGACUGAGACACGGCCCAGACUCCUACGGGAGGCAGCAGUGGGGAAUUUUGGACAAUGGGCGCAAGCCUGAUCCGGCAAUGCCGCGUGCAGGAAGAAGGCCUUCGGGUUGUAAACUGCUUUUGUACGGAACGAAACGGCUCUGGUUAAUACCCGGGGCUAAUGACGGUACCGUAAGAAUAAGCACCGGCUAACUACGUG